UACGAAGGGGGCUAGCGUUGCUCGGAACCACUGGGCGUAAAGGGCGCGUAGGCGGAUCUUUAAGUCGGGGGUGAAAGCCCGGGGCUCAACCCCGGAACGGCAUCCGAUACGGGGCGGCUCGAGACCGAGAGAGGUGAGUGGAAUACCCAGUGUAGAGGUGAAAUUCGUAGAUAUUGGGUGGAACACCGGUGGCGAAAGCGGCUCACUGGCUCGGUUCUGACGCUGAGGCGCGAAAGCGUGGGGAGCAAACAGG
rnacentral:rRNA from 1 species